GACGAACGCUGGCGGCGUGCCUAAUACAUGCAAGUUGAGCGCUGAAGGUUGGUACUUGUACCAACUGGAUGAGCAGCGAACGGGUGAGUAACGCGUGGGGAAUCUGCCUUUGAGCGGGGGACAACAUUUGGAAACGAAUGCUAAUACCGCAUAAAAACUUUAAACACAAGUUUUAAGUUUGAAAGAUGCAAUUGCAUCACUCAAAGAUGAUCCCGCGUUGUAUUAGCUAGUUGGUGAGGUAAAGGCUCACCCAGGCGAUGAUACAUAGCCGACCUGAGAGGGUGGUCGGCCACCUUGGGACUGGGACACGGCCCAAGCUCCUACGGGAGGCAGCAGUAGGGGAUCUUCGGCAAUGGGCGGAAGUCUGACCGGGCAACGCCGCGUGAGGGAAGAAGGUUUUCGGAUCGUAAAACUCUGUUGGUAGGGAAGAACGUUGGUGAGAGUGGAAAGCUCAUCAAGUGACGGUAACUACUCAGAAAGGGACGGCUAACUACGUG
rnacentral:rRNA from 1 species